GUCCAGACUCCUACGGGAGGCAGCAGUGAGGAAUAUUGGUCAAUGGGCUUACGCCUGAACCAGCCAAGUCGCGUGAGGGAUGACGGCCCUAUGGGUUGUAAACCUCUUUUGCCGGGGAGCAAAGUGCCGCACGUGUGCGGUUUGGAGAGUACCCGGAGAAAAAGCAUCGGCUAACUCCGUGCCAGCAGCCGCGGUAAUACGUAGGUGGCAAGCGUUGUCCGGAUUUACUGGGUGUAAAGGGCGUGCAGCCGGGAAGACAAGUCAGAUGUGAAAUCCCGCGGCUCAACCGCGGAACUGCAUUUGAAACUGUUUUUCUUGAGUAUCGGAGAGGUAAUCGGAAUUCCUAGUGUAGCGGUGAAAUGCGUAGAUAUUAGGAAGAACACCAGUGGCGAAGGCGGAUUACUGGACGACAACUGACGGUGAGGCGCGAAAGCGUGGGGAGCAAACAGGAUUAGAUACCCCGGUA
rnacentral:rRNA from 1 species